rnacentral:lncRNA from 1 species
CUGACAGCUUUCUGAUUACAGUGGGACACUAAGGGAGCUGCCACCAAGUGGGAAUGCUGGAUGUUAGAAGCAAAACCUUAAACAACCUUGGCAUUUGGUGGAGAAACAACACAGAUGGGCAUACCAGAGUAGCUUGCUCACAACAGCCCUUCAUUCCCUACAGCCUUUCAUUCCCAGCAAAGAACCUGGCUAUAAACCAGACCGGGCUGUUCUUGAGUGUAAGUUUACCUUCACAGGAAAUCCAUUGUUUGGGAAGCUAAUGGAAUCACCACACCCUGCAAGCACACAGAUGAAGCUCUCAGAUAAAGAAGGAACCAUUGCUUUGUACUGCAGUUUCAGUGUUGGGCUGUACCUGCUGGCAUUUCCUGGAAAAGCAGAAAUAAAUACGCAUUUUCUUGAUAUCCUUUAUUGGAU